rnacentral:rRNA from 1 species
CAGCAGCCGCGGUAAUACAUAGACCUCGAGCGUUAUCCGGAUUUACUGGGCGUAAAGCGUGCGUAGGUGUCUUGGCAAGUCUCUGGUGAAAUCUCCGGGCUCAACUCGGAAACGGUCAGAGAAACUGCUAGGAUCGAGUGUCGCAGAGGCAGACGGAAUGCUUGGUGUAGCGGUAGAAUGCGUAGAUAUCAAGCAGAACACCGAUGGCGAAGGCAGUCUGCUGGGCGAUCACUGACACUGAGGUACGAAAGCGUGGGGAGCGAACGGGAUUAGAUACCCCGGUAGUCCACGCCGUAAACGAUGGGUACUAGGUAUCUGGGGCAUAGACCCCCUGGGUAUCGAAGCUAACGCGUUAAGUACCCCGCCUGGGGAGUACGGUCGCAAGACUAAAACUCAAAGGAAUUGACGG